AUUGUACUCCCUCCGUUCGGAAUUACUUGUCUCGGAAAUGGAUGUAUCUAGAACUAAAAUACGUCUAGAUACAUCCAUUUCUGCGACAAGUAAUUCCGAACGGAGGGAGUAUUAU
rnacentral:pre_miRNA from 1 species